CCCGACUGGCUCCACCACUGGCAAACCUGCGAGUCCUUUCGCAUCGGACGUAUCUUUUAAGGUGCGGAUGGUUCGAGGAAAAGCUUUUUGGGUCUGUAGCUCAGGUGGUUAGAGCGCGCCCCUGAUAAGGGCGAGGUCGGUGGUUCGAGUCCUCCUAGACCCACCAUUUCUGGAUGUUUGAUUGCGCAUACGACUUUUGAAGAUUUUGAACGCAGGCGUUGAGGCCGGUGUUCUGCUCUUUUAUAACUUGCAAUGUAGCGAGCGUUUUAGAUGAUCAUCUGAACGUGUCGUUGAGGCUAAGGCGGGGACUACGAGUCCCUAAGAAAUUGAGUGGUUAUAUUCGUGUUCCAGGCUUUGUACCCCUGCAACAUGACAUAUAAGCCCGAAGGCCACUUGGGGUUAUAUGGUCAAGCGAAU
rnacentral:misc_RNA from 1 species